rnacentral:rRNA from 1 species
GGUUCGAUUCUGGCUCAGAUUGAACGCUGGCGUGGAUGCUUUACACAUGCAAGUCGAAUUGCAGCACGGACUUCGGGUCUGGUGGGCGAGGAAGAACGGCAGUAAUGUAUCGGAACGCGCCUAGUAGCGGGGGAUAACUACGCGAAAGCGUAGCUAAUACCGCAUACGUUCUUCGGGGGAAAGCGGGUCUUCGGGCCUCGCACCAUUAGAGCGGCCGAUACUUGGACAAUAGGUUGGUGGGGUAACGGCUCACCAAGGCGACGAUCCGUAGCUCGGUUUGAGAGGACGACCAGCCACACUGACCGAGAUGACCGCCCCAGACUCCACGGGAGGCAGCAGUGGGGAAUUUUGGACAAUGGGAAACUCCUGAUCCAGCCAUCCGCGUGUGCGAUGAAGGGCCUUCGUCAAAAAGCACUUUUGCAGGAAAGAACGCACGGGAUGAUACCCCGUGCAACUGACGGUACCUGCAGAAUAAGCACCGGCUAACUACGCCAGCAGCCGUAAUACGUAGGUGCAAGCGUUAAUCGGAAUUACUGGGCGUAAAGCGUGCGCAGGCGGUUCGAAAGAAAGAUGAAAUCCCAGAGCUUAACUUUGAACUGGCAUUUUUAAUCACCGAGCUAGAGUGUGUCAGAGGGAGUAAUCGCGUAGCAGUGAAAUGCGCAAGAUAUAUGAGGAACACCGAUGGCGAAGGCAGCCUCCUGGGAUAACACUGACGCUCUGCACGAAAGCGUGGGGAGCAAACAGGAUCGACACCCUGCAGUCCGGCUCUAAACGAUGUGCUGGGAAUUAGCUGUUGAGGCCUUCGUCUUGGUAGCACAGCUAACGUGCGGGGUUGACCGCCUGGGGAGUACGGUCGCAAGAUUAAACCAAAGGAAUUGACGGGGACCCGCACAAGCGGAUGAUGGGAUUAAUUCGAUGCAGCGAAAAACCUUACCUACCCUUGACAUGUCCAGAAUCCGAAGAGAUUGAGUGCCAUAGAAAUCGAACAUAGUACGCGGCUGUGCCGGCCAAAGUCGUGAAGAUGUUGUUGGGUCCGCAACGAGCGCCACCGUCAUUACUGCUGGCGAAAGGCCUCAAUGAGACUGCCAUGGCAAAACCGAGGCUGCAUGACGUCGCUUCUCAUGGCCCUUAUGGGUAGGGUCUCACACGUCAUACAAUGGUCGGGACAGGGUCGCUAACCCGCGAGGGGGAGCUAAUCCCAGAAACCCGAUCGUAGUCCGGAUCGCAGUCUGCAACUCGACUGCGUGAAGUCGGAAUCGCUAGUAAUCAGAUCAGCAUGUCGCGGUGAAUACGUUCCGGUCUUGUACACACCGCCCGUCACACCAUGGAAGGGUUUUACCAGAAGUAGUUAGCCUAACCGUAAGGAGGGCGAUUACUACGGUAGGAUUCAUGACUGGGGUGAUGUCGUAACAAGGUAG